rnacentral:rRNA from 1 species
AUUGAACGCUGGCGGCAGGCCUAACACAUGCAAGUCGAGCGGAUGAAGGGAGCUGGCCCCUGGUUUCAGCGGCGGACGGGUGAGUAAUGCCUAGGAAUCUGCCUGGUGGUGGGGGAUAACGUCCGGAAACGGGCGCUAAUACCGCAUACGUCCUGUGGGAGAAAGUGGGGGAGCUUCGAAGCUCACGCUUUCAGAGGAGCCUAGGUCGGUUUAGCUAGUUGGUGGGGUAAAGGCCUAGCAAGGCGACGAUACGUAACCGGCCUGAGAGGAUGGACGGCCACAAGGGGACUGAGAGACGGCCGUGACUCAUACGGGAGGCAGCAGUGGAGAAUAUUGGACAAUGGGGGCAACUCUGAUCCAGCAAUUCGGAGUGCACAAAGAUGGUUGUCGGGAGGUAAAGUGCUUUGAGAAGGGAAGAAGGAAGUGACGGUACCUGCAGAAGAAGCGACGGCUAAAUACGUG